AGAGUUUGAUCAUGGCUCAGAAUCAACGCUGGCGGCGUGCCUAACACAUGCAAGUCGCACGAGAAAGGGUAGCAAUACCUGAGUACAGUGGCGCACGGGUGAGUAACACGUGAAUUAUCUACCUUCGAGUGGGGAAUAACUGGGAGAAAUCUCAGCUAAUACCGCAUAACACCUACGGGUCAAAGCAGCAAUGCGCUUGAAGAGGAGUUCGCGGCAGAUUAGUUAGUUGGCGGGGUGAUGGCCCACCAAGACGAUGAUCUGUAUCCGGCCUGAGAGGGCGCACGGACACACUGGAACUGAAACACGGUCCAGACUCCUACGGGAGGCAGCAGUGGGGAAUUUUGCGCAAUGGGGGAAACCCUGACGCAGCAACGCCGCGUGGAGGAUGAAAUCCCUUGGGAUGUAAACUCCUUUCGAUCGGGACGAUUAUGACGGUACCGGAAGAAGAAGCCCCGGCUAACUUCGUGCCAGCAGCCGCGGUAAUACGAGGGGGGCAAGCGUUGUUCGGAAUUAUUGGGCGUAAAGGGCGCGUAGGCGGUUUGACAAGUCUGAUGUGAAAUCUAUGGGCUCAACCCAUAGCCUGCAUUAGAAACUGUCGGGCUUGAGUAUGGGAGAGGUGAGUGGAAUUUCCGGUGUAGCGGUGAAAUGCGUAGAUAUCGGAAGGAACACCUGUGGCGAAAGCGGCUCACUGGACCAUAACUGACGCUGAGGCGCGAAAGCUAGGGGAGCAAACAGGAUUAGAUACCCUAGUAGUCC
rnacentral:rRNA from 1 species